UUCCAGCACCUCAAAGCCAAAGAUCUUCCUCAGCCCAGUCUGACAGUGAUUCCUGCAGUCAUCAAAGAGAAAGACUCAGUUCAGCUGAACUGUCAGACUCCUCCAUCUGUCUCUGAGUGUUACUUCAAAAUGGCUGGGCAAGUGGAAUUCACCCUUCCAUCACCCUGUCAACAGACACUCACAGGAACACUACUGGUGAUGUGGACAGGUCAGAGUUCACCAGCUGAGGUCAAAAUGCAAUGUCAGUACAGUGCUACAGGUUCACAGUUUAGAUCCAUAUACAGUGAGUCUUCAACAGUCACAAUUCGGGACAUUCCCCAGCUGACAGUGAGUUCUACAGUCAUCAGAGAGACAGAAUCAGUUCAGCUGAGUUGUGAGACUCCUCCAUCUCUCCCUGUGUCUCACUGUUACUUCAACAUAGAGGGGGGAGAGAAUCCUCCAGACUCAUCCUGUACUCAGACACUCACAGGAACAGAGCUGCUCAAGAGGGCAGAUCAAACGUUUCCAGAUGUGGUCAAAGUGACGUGUUACUAUGCUGUAAGGAGAUCUCACACAUCUCCUUUUAGUGACCCUGUCUCAGUCACUG